rnacentral:misc_RNA from 1 species
UACAAUGGGCUACAUGAUGGCCAAAAA